rnacentral:rRNA from 1 species
CCUACGGGUGGCAGCAGUGAGGAAUAUUGGUCAAUGGGCUUACGCCUGAACCAGCCAAGUCGCGUGAGGGAAGACGGUCCUAUGGAUUGUAAACCUCUUUUGUCGGGGAGCAAAAGACGCCACGCGUGGCGUUCCGAGAGUACCAGAAGAACAAGCAUCGGCUCACUCCGUGCCAGCAGUGCGGUUAUACGGAGUAUGCGCGCGUUCUCCGGAUUUAUUGGGUUUUAAGGGUGCGCAGGCGGAAGAUCAAGUCAGCGGUAAAAUUGAGAGGCUCAACCUCUUCGAGCCGUUGAAACUGGUUUUCUUGAGUGAGCGAGAAGUAUGCGGAAUGCGUGGUGUAGCGGUGAAAUGCAUAGAUAUCACGCAGAACUCCGAUUGCGAAGGCAGCAUACCGGCGCUCAACUGACGCUCAUGCACGAAAGUGUGGGUAUCGAACAGGAUUAGAUACCCCAGUAGUC